AACGAACGCUGGCGGCGUGGAUAAGACAUGCAAGUCGAACGGAGUAUUAUUUGUAGCAAUACAAAUGAUGCUCAGUGGCGCAAGGGUGUGUAACACGUGGGCAAUCUGCCGAAAAGUGGGGGAUAGCUCGCCGAAAGGCGAAUUAAUACCGCAUGUGGCUAGGGAAGACAUCUUCCUGAGGCCAAAGCUGGGGCAACCUGGCGCUUUUCGAUGAGCCCGCGGCCUAUCAGCUUGUUGGCGGGGUAACGGCCCACCAAGGCUAUGACGGGUAGCUGGUCUGAGAGGACGACCAGCCACACUGGAACUGAGACACGGUCCAGACACCUACGGGUGGCAGCAGUCGAGAAUUUUUCUCAAUGGGCGCAAGCCUGAAGGAGCGACGCCGCGUGGAGGAUGAAGGUCUUCGGAUUGUAAACUCCUGUCAUUCGAGAACAAGGUCUGCGGAGUAACUGCCGUCAGACUCGAUAGUAUCGAAAGAGGAAGGGACGGCUAACUCUGUGCCAGCAGCCGCGGUAAUACAGAGGUCCCCAGCGUUGUUCGGAUUCAUUGGGCGUAAAUGGUGCGUAGGUGGCAUGGUUAGUCGGGUGUGAAAUC
rnacentral:rRNA from 1 species